GGUGGCUCAGUGGUAAAGCGCUUGCCUUGCAUGCAUAAGGCCCUGGGUUCAAUCCUCAGCACCA
rnacentral:tRNA from 1 species